CCUGGCUCAGAUUGAACGCUGGCGGCAUGCCUUACACAUGCAAGUCGAACGGCAGCGGACCUUCGGGUGCCGGCGAGUGGCGAACGGGUGAGUAAUAUAUCGGAACGUACCUUUCAGUGGGGGAUAACGUAGCGAAAGUUACGCUAAUACCGCAUAUUCUGUGAGCAGGAAAGCAGGGGAUCGCAAGACCUUGCGCUGAUUGAGCGGCCGAUAUCAGAUUAGCUAGUUGGUGAGGUAAAGGCUCACCAAGGCGACGAUCUGUAGCGGGUCUGAGAGGAUGAUCCGCCACACUGGAACUGAGACACGGUCCAGACUCCUACGGGAGGCAGCAGUGGGGAAUUUUGGACAAUGGGCGCAAGCCUGAUCCAGCCAUGCCGCGUGAGUGAAGAAGACCUUCGGGUUGUAAAGCUCUUUCGGCCGGGAAGAAAUCGCACAGGUUAAUACCCUGUGUGGAUGACGGUACCGGAAUAAGAAGUACCGGCUAACUACGUG
rnacentral:rRNA from 1 species